rnacentral:rRNA from 1 species
GUGAGGAAUAUUGGUCAAUGGGCGGGAGCCUGAACCAGCCAAGUCGCGUGAAGGAAGAAGGAUCUAUGGUUCGUAAACUUCUUUUGCAGGGGAAUAAAGUGCAGGACGUGUCCUGUUUUGUAUGUACCCUGAGAAUAAGGAUCGGCUAACUCCGUGCCAGCAGCCGCGGUAAUACGGAGGAUCCGAGCGUUAUCCGGAUUUGUUGGGUUUAAAGGGUGCGUAGGUGGUUUGAUAAGUCAGCGGUGAAAGUUUGCAGCUUAAGUGUAAAAAUGCCGUUGAAACUGUCGGACUUGAGUGUAAAUGAGGUAGGCGGAAUGCGUGGUGUAGCGGUGAAAUGCAUAGAUAUCACGCAGAACUCCGAUUGCGAAGGCAGCUUACUAAGCUACAACUGACACUGAAGCACGAAAGCGUGGGGAUCAAACAGGAUUAGAUACCCUUGUAGUCC